rnacentral:lncRNA from 1 species
CGGUCGGUUCCUUUGUCCAGGGAGGCCUGAGAUCACAGAGCAGCCCGGCAGCUCUCGUGAGAGCAGCACAUGUGAAGUGGGCAUUGCCAGGGAAGUGGUGGGAGAUUUAAAUGGACACUAACCCGGAAGAAGCCCUUGAUCACUGAGGUUCGCUGCUUCGGAGCUGCCCUGGCAAGAACCGCAAUGACUAAUUGUGAGAUAAAGCCUGAAGGACAGAGAGGAGUCAGGGUGUGUGAAUCACGUGGGAUGUCCAGACAAGGAGAAACGUCGUUGUCGCCACCGCCACCAUGGACACCGUUGUCAACAGAACAACAACGCCUGACAACCCACCACUACUGAAGAUCAAUGACUGAACUGCGAACCAUGUUGGACCAUGGUGUCCAAGACAGCUUCUCUUCACUCAAUGAGGAUGUGGCAAGCCAAAAGGUUGGACGUCAGCAUAUUAGGCAAUGGUGUAUCAGGAGCCUGGAUUACCUUGUUCGUACUUGGAAAGUAUUAAGUAAAAUUAUCUCAAUUUCUUGUUCUCUCAAGCUGCUUAUAGAUGACUGUAAAUGAAAGACAAAAAGUCUUGUUUUAGAGAGAAAGUUCUUUCAUCAUACUCUUUCCUUGGGGCUGUUGAAGAUAUUAUCCUGCAGGCUUUAUGUGCUUCUUGUACACUAUGGUCAUUGAUGAAGAUGUUGAACAAGACCAGACCCAGUACUGAGCAACCCCUGGGGAUCACUGCUAGCUACAGAUCUUCAACUAGACAACACUGCUGAUCGACAGACCUUUGAGCUCUGCCAGUUAGCCAGUUCUCAGCCCAUCUCACUGUCC